UCACCAGUGAGGUACAUCCUUACCUGUUACUCCAGCAAUGGAGUUUCAGAACAUGAUGAAUGGAGAUAAUGAGAUAUGAUUAUAUCUUCCGCUUGCAGAGAAAAGCAACACUCUGCAAGACCCAUUCUGAA